GACGAACUUUGGCGGCGUGCUUAACACAUGCAAGUCGAACGGAAAGGCCCUGCUUUUGUGGGGUGCUCGAGUGGCGAACGGGUGAGUAACACGUGAGUAACCUGCCCUUGACUUUGGGAUAACUUCAGGAAACUGGGGCUAAUACCGGAUAGGAGCUCCUGCUGCAUGGUGGGGGUUGGAAAGUUUCGGCGGUUGGGGAUGGACUCGCGGCUUAUCAGCUUGUUGGUGGGGUAGUGGCUUACCAAGGCUUUGACGGGUAGCCGGCCUGAGAGGGUGACCGGCCACAUUGGGACUGAGAUACGGCCCAGACUCCUACGGGAGGCAGCAGUGGGGAAUAUUGCACAAUGGGCGGAAGCCUGAUGCAGCAACGCCGCGUGCGGGAUGACGGCCUUCGGGUUGUAAACCGCUUUCGCCUGUGACGAAGCGUGAGUGACGGUAAUGGGUAAAGAAGCACCGGCUAACUACGUGCCAGCAGCCGCGGUGAUACGUAGGGUGCGAGCGUUGUCCGGAUUUAUUGGGCGUAAAGGGCUCGUAGGUGGUUGAUCGCGUCGGAAGUGUAAUCUUGGGGCUUAACCCUGAGCGUGCUUUCGAUACGGGUUGACUUGAGGAAGGUAGGGGAGAAUGGAAUUCCUGGUGGAGCGGUGGAAUGCGCAGAUAUCAGGAGGAACACCAGUGGCGAAGGCGGUUCUCUGGGCCUUUCCUGACGCUGAGGAGCGAAAGCGUGGGGAGCGAACAGGCUUAGAUACCCUGGUAGUCCACGCUGUAAACGGUGGGUACUAGGUGUGGGGUCCAUUCCACGGGUUCCGUGCCGUAGCUAACGCUUUAAGUACCCCGCCUGGGGAGUACGGCCGCAAGGCUAGAACUCAAAGGAAUUGACGGGGCCCCGCACAAGCGGCGGAGCAUGCGGAUUAAUUCGAUGCAACGCGUAGAACCUUACCUGGGUUUGACAUGGAUCGGGAGUGCUCAGAGAUGGGUGUGCCUCUUUUGGGGUCGGUUCACAGGUGGUGCAUGGCUGUCGUCAGCUCGUGUCGUGAGAUGUUGGGUUAAGUCCCGCAACGAGCGCAACCCUUGUUCACUGUUGCCAGCACGUUAUGGUGGGGACUCAGUGGAGACCGCCGGGGUCAACUCGGAGGAAGGUGGGGAUGACGUCAAGUCAUCAUGCCCCUUAUGUCCAGGGCUUCACGCAUGCUACAAUGGCUGGUACAGAGAGUGGCGAGCCUGUGAGGGUGAGCGAAUCUCGGAAAGCCGGUCUCAGUUCGGAUUGGGGUCUGCAACUCGACCUCAUGAAGUCGGAGUCGCUAGUAAUCGCAGAUCAGCAACGCUGCGGUGAAUACGUUCCCGGGGC
rnacentral:rRNA from 1 species